rnacentral:misc_RNA from 1 species
GAUGAAGAACGCAGCGAAAUGCGAUAAGUAGUGUGACUUGCAGAAUUCAGUGAAUCAUCGAAUCUUUGAACGCACAUUGCGCCCGCCAGUAUUCUGGCGGGCAUGCCUGUCUGAGCGUCAUUUCAACCCUCAUGCCCCUAGGGCGUGGUGUUGGGGAUCGGCCAAAGCCCGCGAGGGACGGCCGGCCCCUAAAUCUAGUGGCGGACCCGUCGUGGCCUCCUCUGCGAAGUAGUGAUAUUCCGCAUCGGAGAGCGAUGAGCCCCUGCCGUUAAACCCCCAACUUUCCAAGGUUGACCUCAGAUCAGGUAGGAAUACCCGCUGAACUUAAGCAUAUCAAUAAGCGGAGGA